rnacentral:rRNA from 1 species
CAGUCGCCGCGGUAAUACGUAGGUGGCAAGCGUUGUCCGGAUUUACUGGGCGUAAAGGGCAGGCAGGCGGACCGUUAAGUAGAAAGUGAAAGGUCGGGGCUCAACCCCAACAUUGCUUUCUAUACUGGCGGUCUUGAGUCCCGGAGGGGAGAGCGGAACGACACGUGUAGCGGUGAAAUGCGUUGAUAUGUGUCGGAACACCAAUGGCGAAGGCAGCUCUCUGGACGGGUACUGACGCUCAUCUGCGAAAGCCGAGGUAGCGAACAGGAUUAGAUACCCGGGUAGUCCCUGUCUCUUAUAC